rnacentral:rRNA from 1 species
UACGGAGGGUGCAAGCGUUAAUCGGAAUUAUUGGGCGUAAAGGGCGCGUAGGCGGAUCGAAAAGUUUGGUGUGAAAUUCCACGGCUUAACCGUGGAGCUGCAUUAAAUACUCUCGAUCUAGAGGGUGGACGGAGAAAACGGAAUUCCAAGUGUAGCGGUGAAAUGCGUAGAUAUUUGGAAGAACACCGGUGGCGAAGGCGGGUCUCUGGGCCGAUACUGACGCUGAGGAGCGAAAGCGUGGGGAGCGAACAGG